ACUUAAGUAGUUUAAAAUAAAAUUUUGAUUUGUGGUGUCAAUGAUGUAUAAUUUACCUUGAGUU
rnacentral:tRNA from 1 species